rnacentral:rRNA from 1 species
AGCGAACGCUGGCGGCAGGCCUAACACAUGCAAGUCGAACGAACCUUUCGGGGUUAGUGGCGGACGGGUGAGUAACACGUGGGAACGUGCCUUUAGGUUCGGAAUAACUCAGGGAAACUUGUGCUAAUACCGAAUGUGCCCUUCGGGGGAAAGAUUAAUCGCCUUUAGAGCGGCCCGCGUCUGAUUAGCUAGUUGGUUGAGGUAAUGGCUCACCAAGGCGACGAUCAGUAGCUGGUCUGAGAGGAUGAUCAGCCACAUUGGGACUGAGACACGGCCCAAACACGUAAGGGAGGCAGCGUGGGGGAAUACUGCGAAAUGGGCGAACGCCGGACGCAGACAGGCGGAGUGAUUGAUGAAGUUCUUAGGAUUGUAAAAUGAUUCCACCGGGGAGGAUAAAGACGGUACCCGGAGAAGAAGCCCCGGCUAACUCCGUGCAAGCAGCAGCGUAAUAGUCGGAAGAGCAGACAUCUGAAC